CUCAAUAAAAAUGCAGCCUAUCUGAAUACACACAAAUAUAACUGAAAUUCAUAAUAUUACAGUAAGGCAAAGAUAAUAAGUAUGACAUUUCAUAAUGUCUGAAUAAGUUAAAAUGCAUUACAUGUUAGUAGGAAUUCAUAGAAACACAAACAUCUAUAUAUGAUAUUGUCCUGACGCUUCCCCUUUAAGAAAUCCGAGUGUAGUGCGCGUGCAACUGUAGCGCGCAUACUUUGAACAGUAACGGUCAAAGAGGAGAAGAAGCUGAGAAAUCGAGUGAUUAACGUUGUUUAACUUGUUAAAAUGUAUUUAAAGAUGCUAAAGAGGAAGAAAUAGUAAUACUUAUCUGAUCUGCAUCCUAAACGAACAGUUUUGGGUUAACAAUAUCUGUUGGAUCCUAUGUACCCAGCCUCAACCAUUCAUCAGAAGGACUGUGAAAGCGGGAACUCUUUGAACCACCAGUGGCAGUUUCCACGGGAUGAAAAAGGGCAUAGUAGUGGAUGAUGAGGUCCUGAGACCAUAUGGGGUGAGGAUCAAGACAACCAAACCAAAGGUGGACUGUAACCUACUGGACUAUAUGAUAGACUUCAUACUGACAACCAUGUAUGCAGCAUGAAAAGUUUUUGAAAAAAG